UAUCUCUAGUAGCCCUCUUUCCCGUCCCCGAAUUAAAGGAGGAUGCUCACCAACAAACUAAGCUCGUGCCUCUCCUUCACACGGCUCUCACCAUGCUGGAGCACGACCAAGAUACACAAAAUGUCAGGCAUUGACAGAGGGAGGGAUGAGAAAGGGGUUAAAAGGGAAGAACGAACCCCGGCUACGAGCGCUGUGGCUGGCAGGGGCGGCAGAGCGCAGCGAGCAGGGGACGUGCCACAUCGCCCGAGCUCCCAGCCCUGUGACCCCAACAGGAAUGUGCUGCGAAGAUAAAUCAGAAAUGACAGCUGAGGGUUUAUGAACUGAAAAUAACCAUCCUUAGAAGAAAGAAACCAGCAGCGGGAAAUCCCCCAUCUGUUUUGUUUACAUGUGCUUAGCGUGGAUGUAGCAGUGGUUUAUUUCAUAGUGAAGAGACUAUAUGUAAGAGUGAUUUCACUGAUUGUUAUUAUUGUUAUUCGUCAAUCUUGUUUAACAUCCACUACCAUAUUAAGCUCAAUUCUAUAAUUAGAUACUAAUUUUUUGGGGUUUUUUAAAUGCAAACUGGUCUUUUCAGAACAGCUGUUUAAAAAAUGAGGAACUGAGUGGUAUUGAAUGAAAAGAAAUAAAAAAAAUAUCAAAAGAGAUAACAUAUUAAAACAUCAUAAAAUUUCUCAGUAAAUGACAAGGGUUUUCGUGACACUGGUUAGGAAAGGGUUUUCUAGUUUCAGGGUUUGCUUUUGCCAGACUGUUAAAAUGGUUGAUGUACAGAAAAGGAGGAAUGGGGUCAGAGAGUAGGAAUAUAUUAAAGCUUCAAAUUUUUUUCAGUCUUUCCUCUCUGGAGUUCCUUUGUGUAUCUUGCCCAGCCACUCUCAUGACAAGCUGAGAGGAAAAAAUCCCCAAGGGGUUUAAAGUUUUGUAGUUCCCCAUUUCAGGGUGAAAAGCAGCAAGUUUGGUGUCUGGCACAUAGUAGAAACAGCCAUGACCCACAUAAACCUGCCUGUCAUCCGGCUAGGAAUCUUCUUCUUUAUGUGACCUCUGUGCUGAGACUGAGCGUUUCUAGACUGUGUGUUUGGGCUACCUCCAGCCAGAAACCUCAAUACUGCAAGAAGUGUUCUGAAACACCACUGAUUUCACAGCUACCUUAUGCUACUACAUAGUAAGAAAAACCCGUGGGUGAAAUACUGUUAUCUUCAUAGUGGCUGUUCUCUGCUCUACCAUCUGUCAGCAGCAGGAGUGGAUGUACUUUUAAGAUUUCUUGCAGACCUAUAGGGGAAUCCAAGUAAUAAAUUUCAAGUCUAUGUUGAAAGCCAUAAUCCUAAAGGUAAUUAUGAAGGCAUGGUAGCUUUUUCAUGGACCUUUGACUUCUUUCUCUACCUGUCCUGUGUGGAAGCUGGCAGUGAUCAUAACAUGCAUAUAGUAGCAUCAGGUCUGAGACAUCAGAGAAAAAAGAACACACAGGAAAAUGGUGGAAAUAUAAAGUAUGAACACCAAACCUGACCAGCUACCUUUUAUAGCUGCUUUUUAGCUGGGGAUUGCAAUUUCCAGAGUUCUAAUACACUGAAUUUUACAUAUCCAUUUCCAAUCCUACUCUAGAGUUUAUUUUAAAUCCUAGAAUCGUUGGCACUUGACACAGGAAAUGGCAAGAAAGAAACCAUCUCAGAAGCACAUUCUCUUUCAAACACAACUUUUCUUCUCUCCCCAGACCUGACUUCACCUGAGACCAUAUCACUAUAGUAGGUGACAUUUGAAAUGGAGAUUGAAAAGCUGUCCACCAAGGUCACUUCACUUUAUUCAGUUUUCUUCUUUUACCACUGCUGUUUCUCCAUGGGGAAUUUUUUGAUUCCAGUAUUCCAACAUCGCUUCCACUAAUGGGCAUCACUCCAAGCGCACAUUCUCUCAUCUGAAGGGCAACAGGGAAAAAAAAGGAUCUUAUCUCCACAGGUUCUUAUUCUAUUGCAAGGAGGAGAACAGAGAAAUAGUUCACAAGAGCAGAGAAGAUGAAAUGCGCCUGGGCUAAAGCCAGCAGUUUGUGUGGUAGUGUGAGCUGAAGAGUUCCACUGCCUUGUUAAAAACGCGGGGUGCUCAAUUAUCAGCAGGGGAUGCCCUCAGCAACCACAGUGGACAACACAGCUGCACCUGCUGCCCAUCUCUGAAUUUUAGGCUGGAUACUAAGCAGUGGCUGCACACCCCCCACACCUCAGCAUUGCUCCUAUGCAUAAUAAAAAAACAGAGCACAAUGUAAUCUCUCCUGUCUGCUUAUUCUUCAUCAUGUUCUUUACCUAGACUCUUCUUCCCAACACUACCAGCUCCACUUGGGGCUGACACUGCAUGUUCUGUUUGCAGGGUGAUGCGGCAAAGAGGCAUAGGAAGGCAGACUGCCACUGUGGCUUAGAGGAAAAACUGAUCUAUAUGGCCCAUGGAUCAGGGAGAUUUGGAAAUGGCAGCUGUGCUCCUUGGGUUUGCAGAUUUGCAUUAGGUAUAUUAUGUAGGUGUAAGUGUUUUGAAAUUGAUUUUGUUUGGUGCUGCUUUUGUUGGGGUUUUUUUGAGCAUGCAUUUAAGUAGCUAUUAUGUUAUUUAGGGUUUUCAAAUAUUUUCACAUUGAUCUGCCCAUGAAAGGAGGGAUGGCAAAGCUUGGCAGCAGCCCAGAACAGUGCCACAGCAGCAUGGCCACUGAUAAAAAGCUUAUCUGUUGGCUAGCAGAAGACUGUAUCUGUAAUAGAAAUGCAGCUACAUAUUGAAUUUUCUCUGUCAGGCGAGUAAAUCUGCCAUGAAGAAUGUAAAUCACAGCUGAGGACAUCUCCAUACAAUGGAAUUUUAUUCAGAAUGUCUGCUAAGUAUAUGUUUGUUAUAAUGCUUAAAUGGCAAAAAAUGGUGCUUCAUCCUAAAUAUUGCUCAACAAAUACUCACAAUUCUAAGUCUGCUUCAGCCAUACAAGAAUGAAAUUCAAUACAAAGAAAAAUAGUGCUUUAAACAUAUAUGCCAACAAAAAGUGGAGGUUGGCGCACUCAAAUCUCAGUAACAGGCCAGUUUCAAUACUUCUUAACAAAUUCAUAUUUAAAAGAAAGCACAAAGAAAGCACAAAAGGCACUAACCUAUAAUCAGGACUCUUGAAAAACAAGAGCUCAUAUUUCUGUGAUGCUGUAAAAAUACAUCAGCCUGCAAGACUUUGGAAUUACUCCAGGGACAUCUUGGCUUUCCUGCUGUGCCAGGAAUCCUCUCUUUCUUGCUGCUUUUGUGCAGUGGAGUGAGAUACUUGUCCUUCAAUGCUACAGUUCAACUUGCAAGCAGCAUCCUCAGGGGUGCUUGCUCUUUUGAGAGGUGAGAGGACAAGGACACCGGACCCUGAGCAGCUGCGUGUGAGGGACAGCAAGGAAUGGGGCCCUGCUGUGGACGCAUUUCAGAUCACCAAAGAGUUAACAUCCACACAGCGUGAUUGUUAGAGUUCAUGUCACAUCUGCUGCCUUUUUAGAAAGUAACUGUAAACUUCUCCUAGAGAUGAGUUGGUUUCAAUGGCAUUACAGCAGAGACAGGGUUAGGGUUCCUCAUUUGUUCCCUAAGCCAGUUUGAGGAGAGAGGGUUGUAGGAAGCUGUUCUGAGCAUGGGUUUGCAGUCUACCUCAACCCUCUGCACAUGUCCUGACAUGGUUCCCUGCUCCCUCAGCUGUCCCUAUGGUCAUUCUGAUCAUGCCUCUAAAGAAAAGUGUACACAGCACUUUAAGAAAGUCAAGGAUUAUAUAAAAUCCAAACCCAUCCCAAUAUCCUCUUUUGGCAGGAAGGCUGGAAGCAGGAAGGAAAAAGUUGUGGCAUCCCAAGCAUUGGGGCGUGGGAGGGAGUAGACGAGGGACAAACACCCCCACAAAUGAAACAAGGGACAAGUAAUCUCUACAUUGAAGCACCGGUGUUUCCUAAGAGCAAAAGAAGGGCUGAAGGAAAACAUAUUUGGAAAAGAAUCCAGGCUGGGUUAGGCACUUGUAUAUACAGCUGUAAAGUGGAGGUAAAUUGCCACCAUGUGGCAAUCUCUUCUCAUGUAAAGAAAACACUUACACAAAGGGAGUAGGGCAGUUUGGUCCCUGAAAGGGUGGGCAGUGUUCUGUGAACUGGGCUAGGGAACUAAUCCAAGUGUGACUCACUGAGAAAGGCUUCUUCUCAAGAAGGGUGGGCUAAGUAGCUUUUCUCCUUUACUAAAUGUAAGAGAAAACAAAAAGUGCUAUCCUUGUUUAGCAAGAGACAGCUAACGAGGAAAUCUCCCUGAGCAAUGAAGAAUCUAUAAAUACCCUGAGAGAUGGGCUUUGCUCUUCUAUUCUGCAAGUAGCUCAAGUGAGCCCUGAACGUGUAUUUGAAAGAACGAGAGACCUGUCAAACCUGCCUUCACUGUAGGUACUGGGACAAUAUCUACAUGGAGUUCUACAGGGUUUGACCAAAGCCUCCCCUAUGUACUGCAAUGCCAUGCAGGAGCAUCACAAAUGGGGAGCCUUGAAAGCUGCAUUGAGAAAUGAGGGGUAGGAGCCAAGAAAAAUGUAGAUUAUAAGUGUGAGUGGGGCCAGAUUGACAGUUUGCAGAAACAGAGGCUUCCUUGUGCUUCCCCUUCUCUUUUCAGCUUUGUUUCUGAUAAGUAAACAAGAACUCCCACAUUGCUAGGUACGAGAGAAUCAAGACAGGAGAGGCCUCUAAUGUGCACAGGGACUCGGGUCCUGCCAGUUGGGGAUGAGAUGAGCACUGUAAUCCGGCAUAAAUCUGUGUCACCACUGUACAGGAAGGUUCUUUCUGACACCACCCCCAGCUGCCCGUUCUCAUCACCUCCCCUGCACUUACAGCAGCUUUCAGAGAGCCACAAGCAUUAUUCCAGACCAGGACAAUUAGCUUUCAGCAUCAGCAUCUUGAUUCAGAGGUGCCUGUGCCUACACAAGGACAGGAGUGAGGAGGAAUGGCCCUUGCAGCACCACUGAGAUCCAUAAAGCCAUGUCUGUGGUCUGAGACAUCAGCAUCAGUCAAGUGGGGAGGCAAGUCCACUAGAUGCCAAGCUUUUUUCAUCAACACACCUCACCUACAUGAGAUCUAUGCAUCCUUCUCUUCAGCAGCCCAUUGAGCUGCCCAGUAGGAGGGAGCAAACAGACGUCAGCCAAAUCAAUCACACUCACACCAGCAAUGCAUUCUUUAACUUCAUUUAGUAUUACAUUUCCCGAUUUGAAAAACACCUUCAUUCUGCUUUUGUCCUCUCUUUCCCUUUGCUAAAUUUUCCUUUUAUCUAUGACAGCAUCUUUGAACACUCUUAUAUAAGCACAGAGAUUCUGCUUCCCUCUUCCUUAUGUUGCUUUCCCUUGCUACUCUUCACUACUCCUUGAUGCAGAGAAACUCCCACGAUCCUUCACCUUCCCCUCCUGACUCCUUUGCAGCCUUUCUGCCUUUCUCCCACUGCUUGUCUCACAAACAGAGGCCUCCUCCUUCCAAAGCUCUGCUUGUUCCCCACUUCACACCGAAUCCAGCCCUGUCUGGGGGUCAGCCCCAUGGACAUGAAGAACAUGAAUCCUACAAAGAGGUGGGGUUUAUCCCAUCACUCCUCUGUACCGGCUAUGGGCAGAAACCCUUAUUCAAGAGUAGGAAGAUGUGUCUGUCUGUCCCUUGGGCACAAAGGGUUGUCCUUUUCCUGCCCUCACUGCAGAAGGACCAGCCUGCUGAUUGGGCAUGAUGCUGACCAGGAGGUUUUCUUUGUCACGUCACUGUGAUACAAGUGGCAGAGGAUCCUCCCUGGGGAGAGCCCCUUACAUAAGAGAUUUUAUUUGUCAGUGUGCAUUGCCAAAUGCCAGCCCAAAACGGAAGCACAGGAGAGAGGUUUGUGUAAAGAUAAAGAAAGCAGCAUCACUCAACACCUGUGCAGCUCCAGCAAUCUGUGUCAGAGGGAAGCUGUCACCAUUUAGCCUACUGAGAAAUUCUAAUGUAGAAGAAAUGCAAGACCCUCUCUGGUCUGGAAUCAAGAGGUAAUCAAAUCUCAAAAGAGAACUAUGAAUCCCACAGACACACCAGGCAGUCUGGUCCAUCAUAUUCUAAUUCUUAUUUACAUCAAACUGCACCAUUUCCUCCACUGAUUUCAAGUGCUUGAGCUUCUUUUUUAUCAUAGCCUGUACAUAACAUGAAGCAUGCACAGAAUCAAGUAUAAACACCAGCUAGUUCCUCUAUAUGCUUCUGCUAUUGUCCUGUAGAAAUGGCUAAUACACUUUCAGGCCUCCUGUUCAUUCCACAAACUUCAUGAUUUUCCAGUACACAUCACAUGGGAAACCAGAAUUCCAUAAAUUGCACUCCUCAAAAAAAAAAACCCCAAACCAUUACCAAUCUGAUUUCAAUUUUCUUCUUGUACUUGCUUUGAUACCCACUAAGAUAAAUGAAAUGGCAAUAUUUGUGAAAUACCCAAUCUACUGCAUGUGUAUUUAAAAUCAAAUCUGUCAGCAUAUUACCCCAGCUGUAGAGAUUAGUCAGAAUCUCCCUCCUCAACUUUUCCCUCCUAAGUCUCUUGCUGGGCUCUUGUUUCCUAUGAGUUGAUUCCACUUUUAAUUUUAUGUUUCCAUCAAUAGAGAAGAGUAAAACAGCUGGAGGGAACAGAUAAGGGACUUAGUCCACUACCACCAUCAUCCAACUCCAAAUUGGAUUGACUGGCUGAGUGCCCCCAAAUCCUCCAUGGAUACUCAAUUUAAUAGAAAGAAAAAGACUCCCCACACAAAGAAAAAUAUGCAGAAAAUAAUAAGACCACUUUAUGAAACAUAAUAGUUUCAGCAAUGUGCAUAUGAUUAUAUCCCUAAUUCAAAUGAAAUGCAACAGACAAUCCUUUUAUGUUAACCAUGGAAAAAAGAAACACAGCUGAUGAUUUAAUUUGUCCUUUUACUAAAUGAUUUAAUUUUAGCAAGCUGUUAUCCAAUGAAGAACAUUAAAAAGGGCCAUAUCGCAUCAGCCUAACAAUUUCUGGUCCACCUUAUCUGUGACAGCAGCCAAUAAAGGGAACGGGGAAGUGCAAAAAAAAACAGAUGGAAAAAAAUGCUAAGGAGAAUUUGAGGAAGAUGAAAAAUAGGAUAAAGCAGGUGGAGGAACUAAAAUAAUUCCCUUAGUUAGACUGAGGCUUUACUCCCAUGGAUGAGCACACAUGGAUUUCUAGAGAGGCAGCUCCAAGCAGGAUCAGUGCUCACAGGGAGCAGUGCUCUGGGCUGUGCAUGACUGGUCCCUUACCUGAUGGCAGCAUUAGAGAUCAGCUGUCCUGCCUGCACAGACAGAGCCUCAGGGAUUUGGCCAAACAUUAAUUUUUAAUUUGUUUUUCCUUUUAACUUGACAUAGUGCCCCUAAGAUUCAACCAGUUUUAACUCCAAACUGACAUUAUAUAUCUUCAAAGCAUGAGUUGGCAUCUUCUGUAAUUGCUCACUUAAUGGGAAAAUUAGGAUUGUAAUAGUCCUACCAAACUCCUUUGUCUCAAACCAGGCAGAACUCUGCCCUAGUGCUAUUUUGUGCUGGCCCCAUCUCUCCCUCUCACUAGCCUCCUUUAAAUUAUUCCAUUUGGCUUCACGACUUGCCUUCCCUUGAUCUCCUAAUAGGAUGGUGAACCCCUGACCUCUUUCCAGGAACUCUGCUUGAAACCCAACCUUUCCAGACUGCCAAACUUCCAUUUGCUCCUCACUUCUUCCUGCUGUGCCAUCAGUCUCAUCAGCCUCUUUCUAAAAAUUGAGAUUUUGAUUUUCUUUCAUUUUUUUUUUCUGCUAGGAAAACUCAGCGUAGCCUAUUCGCUGCUCAAUCACCACAGUAGUUGCUGAGUAACAAAGAAUCAGUGGAACAUCACAGCAUUUGUAGCGGCUCAUUUAACAGCACCACAAAUGUUUUGUACAAGGAGAGCACCGUGAUUUCUAUUUGUUCCUGAUAUUUGGAAUAUCUCCAGCUCAAAUGCUGCUGCGUUUGGAUUUUUUUUUUUUUUUUUUUUUUCUGAUUUGGUAGAACAGAGUCUCCAUUCAUUAUAUGUGCACAACACAGGUUCCCAAGCAAGAAAUGGAGGGUGGGAUUGAUUCCACGUAGAGACCGUGGCUCGUCCCUCCAUGGGGCAGGUGCCUUUGGCUGCAGGGACCUGCUGCCCACUGCCCUGCUGUGCCCAAGCUGCCCCAGCAGCUAGCAAGGUUACCCCUGACAUCCCCCUUCAAGGUGGGUCAAGCUGGCUCCAGGUGGGAAAUGCUGCCUGCAGGGACUUGGCCGCCUGAAUUACAGCAGCACCCGCAGUGGGGGCUGGAGAGGUACUGCAGAUGUCAGCACUGGAGGAGAAGGGGUGCGAGCAUCAUUCCUUGGGCAAAAGGCCAGGUUGCACAACAGGUCCCCAGCCCCACUCACUGCCCUACCUGCUUCUGGGUGUCAGGCUAUUUCUGGCCUUGCUGGCAGCCCUCUCAGUUCCUACAAUGGCUGCGGGUAGCGAUGUUAGCUGACAUUCAGUUGUAAUUGGCCCUCAUCCCCAAGGACACAGAGCAGAAAUAAGGAAGGCUAUGCUAUAAAUGUACUGAAAUAGGCCACACACCCUUGUCUGGAGGGCCCUUCAUCUCUCCUGCCACCGUCUUGCCCAGGGGACAAAUGAGACUGCAGGUUCUCCGUGGUGCCUGUCCCAGGCACAUGGCCAGGAGCAGCCUUCCCCCUGCACUGGAGAUGGUCCAGCACUGGUCACACUGUGGGCACUGAUCCUCUCUAUGGCCUCUGGUGUCUUGAGGAACAUUCCCCUGGUCCUCCACAUCAUCUCAGUAACUCCCUAAUACCAGCUGGAUCACUUUGGGGAUUGCUGUGCAGGGCAGUGGGUUCGACCAUUUCUUCAGUGGAAGCCAUCAUUACCAAUAUUCUAAUCUGAGGUGCAAGGGCCUGUGACAAACACCCCCUGCUCAGGCAAAAGGCUGGACAUUCUAAGCUUAAAACCGGGUGAUACACAGGUUGGCUUGUUGGUAAUGACAUCAUCAGUGACAUCAUUAUUUGAGACAACAGAGGUCUCAAAAGAGGAGUAGAAUGUUUUAUCAUACAUGUAAAUUUCUUGUGUGGGUAUAUUUACAUAAGAUAUACCUGUUGAUCAUCUCUGAGUAAUUACAGGGGACUUUUCUGUAUUACCAUCACAACCCAGAUAGGGUGUAUGGGAAUUAGGGGUGAAUGAGGUCUGCAGGAAUUCUAGAAGGGGCUUCUGAGGUGACCCCAGUGAGAUAAGAAAGACACUCACCUUCUGCCUGCCUCUUCCUCUUUAAUAUUUAAAAUUUCAAAUAGUUUUACUUAGUCAUUAGUCAGUCCACUAAUAAUAAUUACAAUGACAAUCGCAACAUCACUGUAAGCCAUAAACAGUGGGUUUAUGAUGUUCUAAGACACUCCAUUAGUUGAAUGGUAUUAUAAAAAACGUUCAAAUUUUUUCUGCAUUUUUUAAAAUUGUACAUGUCUCUGUAAAAAGUAAAGACAGUAUGCUUUGAAUCUGUAAUAUAAAAAAAACAGCUGCCUUGACCUUCCAGCAGCACAAAUACAGCACAACAAACUGUAUACAUAUACACCCCAACCUCAGUCUGCAAAGCUGUUAACAAAUACCUAUUUUACAUUUAGUCACUAACUGCUGUUCAAGGUUUCUCUCUAGAUGCCCAGGGACAGGCUAAACAUCACUUUGAUUACAGAGUGGUGCAUAUCCCCGUAUUUUGAGCUAGCAAAAGUAGUUCCUCUGAUAGCUAAAGAAACAGCCAGUGGUGAUUAAAACAAGAAAAUGUCCUGGGGAAGUGUUUGAAGUGAACUGCAGGCCCUGAUCAAAGCACAGGUAUUGUAAGCACACAAGGCUAGCAGGAAGAAAUCCUGUGUUUUAUUAGACCAGCACACACUACUAGAGAAAAUGGGAAACUUUUCAUACAAGAGCCUUUCUUCAGCUCUGUCAUUUGGUGUAAUAAAAGGUGUUGUGUUUUCCUA